AAGAAAGUCGUAGUGGUUACGGUGCUGGCUUGAAACCAGUUUUAGGGGGUUCGAUUCCUUCCUUUCUUG
rnacentral:tRNA from 1 species